rnacentral:rRNA from 1 species
CACGUAGGGUGCGAGCGUUGUCCGGAAUUAUUGGGCGUAAAGAGCUCGUAGGCGGUGUGUCGCGUCGGCCGUGAAAACCCGCAGCUCAACUGUGGGCUUGCAGCCGAUACGGGCAGGCUUGAGUUCGGUAGGGGAGACUGGAAUUCCUGGUGUAGCGGUGAAAUGCGCAGAUAUCAGGAGGAACACCGGGUGGCGAAGGCGGGUCUCUGGGCCGAUACUGACGCUGAGGAGCGAAAGCGUGGGGAGCGAACAGG